UACAUUUGAAACAUUAGUAAUUCCACAAUAAAUCUCCAGUUGUUCAGCAGCCUAGUAAUUACAGGGCCAGAACCAAAGCAAACUAUGAAAAUAUUCAUGAACAUCUAAAAGUCCAAGGCUCUAUGUCUUUCCUUUUUACCACACGUAUUGCUUUGUCGGUAAAGCUCUGCAUAAACUAUUGCAUAUGAUGCAGUGAGUUACUCCCUGAGGCUCUGCUGUGGGGUCAGGGCCCGGCCUGAGAAGAGUGUGGUGACUGGCUGGCUGCCUUGUGGGCUCCUAUCAUCUUUAGCUGCUUCCCCUGACCAUGAAGUUCAUACUCCAUGGGAUUCCAGCUGAAUUCUUUGGACAGAAUUUUAAAUCCUUGUUCCCCUUCCCCAGUAGGAAAAGCAUCAAAAAACAAUAAAAAUAGUGCAUCUGACUUUUUUUACCUAGGGAAUGCCUAGAGGAGAAAAUGAUUUAAUGAAUCAAAGACUCUGGUUACCAGUGGGGCAGGAUCCAGAACGACGAGGUCAUCCAUGUUUGCCUUUGGCGCUCCCAGUUUCGCCUCCUCCUCCUGUGUUGGUGCACCCCUGUGCUCUCUAGAAUCGUACCCCACAACUCUCAGAGCACCUCACCUCACAGUCUAAACAUCCUCUUCCUCUUCCCUCCUUCUGACUACAGGCGAUGGUUAUGAGGGCCACGUUCAUUGUGCUGCAUGUAAAAUAAUCAGGUAACCAGUUUUAGAAGACUGAAUUUUAACAGGCGUUCUCUUUUGGAAUGACAGAUACCUAACUCAUAGAAAUGACCUGUAAUCAUGGCCUGGGUUAGGAACAAGGAUUUGGAGGAAGAAAGUGCCUUCAAAUCACCCUGCAAAUAGUGUUGUCUACUCAGCCACAGGAAGACAAGCCCUGGGGAUGCAUUCAGCAGGCAGCAGGUCCCGCGGGUUCUACAGCUUCAAAUUACUUGGAGCAAAUGAGGCUUUUCAGCUUUGCUUGCUCAAUGCCAAGCUCCACACUUUAGAAGGGGAUCCUUGUAUACCUGACUCACCACCCGAAGGAAAUGUCUUCAGAGAUGUUCACUGCCCCAGUGCUUCCAAUGGUCCAACUCUAAAAGAAACCAGAGAACAAGGAACCUAUUGAUGCAGCACAAAUGAAUCAGCCUCCCAGGAACAAAACAAACUCAAGAAAGGCAGAGUGCAUGCAGGGAGCAAAGCCCAGUUUCAAGCGGAUCUGCCCCCACUUGGAAUCUCAGCAUCACAUGCUGCUGACACAGCCCUUGACCUGGAGCGGCGCUGAGCACAGAUGGCUCCAGAAUGCAGAAGCCAUGGAAAGUUAGGGAAAUGGCUCUGGGAAGUCCAGCCUGCAUGCAGAAAGCCAGGUAUGUCUUUUGAGAAUCGAUGCUGCCCUCCCACCCAAAAACAAAUAACAAUCAUGACUCAGGCUCCAAGGGGAAUUUAAAUUCUGCUGGCCAAAAAAGGUUGAAGCAACCAUCCAUCGCCAAAGUAAGUAGGGAAGGCUGGCAGGGAGAUUCCAGAGGAAAAACAAAAUAAUCCAAAAGUGCUCAGAAAAAAAAUGCAAUGGAGUAAAAGCAUUAUAGACAACAGAAAUUUAAGCCAGUUUCCUUCAGAACAUGGAGAGCUGCAAAACCUUCUAAAAAGGUUGCUUGUGAUUGACAGAAUAAUAGGCCCCCCGAAGAGAUCCAUGUCUUAAUCCCUAGAACCUGUGAAUAUGUACGUUGCAUGGAAAAGAGGAGUUCAGGUUGCAGGUGGAAUUACAUUUGCUAAUCAACUGGCCUUGAGCUGGAGAGAUGAUUUUGUAAAAUGCUGGUGGGCACAUUGUAAUUUCAAAGUUCUUAAAUGGUGAAGAGAGAGGCAGAAGUGUCAGAAACAGAGAUGGCAUCAUGAAAAUGACCUUAUGGGCCAUUGUUUGCUUUGAAGAUGAGAGAAAGAACAUGAGCCAAGAAAUGCAGACAGACACUAGAAGCUGGAAAAGUCAAAGAACAGAUUAUCCCCCAAGACCCCCCGAGAAAGAAACCUAGAACUGCCUAUACCAGCCAGGCAUGAUGGCUCUCUCUUGUACUUCCCAGCACUUCGGAAGGCGGAGGCAGGAGGAUCACUUGAGCCCAGGAGUCUGAGACCAGUCUGGGCAACAUAGUGAGAUCGUGUCUCUACAAAAAAUGAAAAAAUUAGCCAGCCAUGGUGGUGCACACUUGUAGUCCCAGCUACUUGGAAGGCUGAGGCAAGAGGAUCACUUGACCUGGGGAGGUCAAGGCUGAAGUGAGCUGUGAUAGCACCACUGCACUCCAGCCUGCGCAACAGAGCCAGACUCUGUCUCGAAAUAAAAAAGAAAAAGAGAAAGAAGAAGACAGAGAGAUCUACCUACACCUUGAUUUUUAGCCCAGUGAGACCCAUCUUGGACUUCUGACUUCCAGAACCGUAGAUAAUAAAUUUGUGUUGCUUUAAGCCACGUUUUGUGACUAUUUGUUACAGUGGCAAAUGGAAACUAAUACAUUGAUCUAUAAAGAUCAGUUGGGAUAAUUUUUGACUAUUUGCAGAUUUAAGGCAAGAAGCAGACUUUCCAGCAGAGGAAGAAUGGAAUAAAGUAGUGUAGCAUGCAUCAACAGAAAAAAAUAUAAGGCUGGGCAUGGUGCACAUGCCUGUAAUCUCAGCACUUUGGGAGGCUGAGGUGGGAGAAUCCCUUGGCUGAGGCGUUCUAGACCAGCCCAAGCAACAUAGUGAGACCCCAUCUCUACAAACGAUAAACAUAAAAAACACAAAUUAGCCAGGUGUGGUGGUGAAUGUCUGUAGUCCCAGCUACUCAGGAGGAUGAGGUGGAAGGAUCACUUGAGCCCAGGAGGAAGAGGUUGCAGUGAGUUGAAAUUGCACCAUUGCCUUUCUGCCUGGAUGACAAAGUGAGACUCUAUCUAAAAACCAAACAACCAAACAAAUAUAUAUAUGUAUGUAAGACCAGAGCAGAGGCCACUCUGUAAUCCUCAUAUGUAUAGUAGGGCUGCUAUCAGAUUCUUAAGGGAGUUUGGUGACUUGCAUCCUUUAAGGUUUUUAAUAUGCAUGCAUAAUGUUGAUAGCUUUUAAUUUUUAAAUUAUAUAAUUAAUGAAUCAAUACUGAUAUAUUAUUGGGAACCAGUAUUCACAUUUCCUUGGCUUCUUCCUAAUGUCAUUUUUUGUUGUUGUUCAAUAAUCCCAUGCAGACAGCACCUUCCAUUUAGUUGGCAUGACUUUUUAGGAUCUUCUUUGUGACAGUUUCUAAGACUUUCCAUGUUUUCAAUGAUCUUGACAGUGUGAAGAACUACUGGCCAGGUAUAGUGUAGAAUGCCCUGUAUUAGAAUGUAUCUGAUAUUUUUGUCAUGGUUAGUAUAGACUCAUAGGUGCUUAUUUCAUACUUUGGGUUAUAAUCCAAUACUACUUUAAGCAGGAGAUAAGCUUUAAUUGAGAAGAGUUGGCCUGAU
rnacentral:lncRNA from 10 species